rnacentral:tRNA from 1 species
UUCUGGAAUUCCUAUCCA